rnacentral:rRNA from 1 species
GCUUAUACAUGCAAGUCGAACGGACCUUCGGGUCAGUGGCGGACGGCUGAGUAACACGUAGGUAACCUGCCCUUUACUGGGGGAUAACAGAGGGAAACCUCUGCUAAUACCGCAUAAGACGUGAGCUGCAAUGCUUACGUUUAAAGAUUCAUCGGUAAGGGAUGGGCCUGCGCCUGAUUAGCUUGUUGGUAGGGUAAAAGCCUACCAAGGCGAUGAUCAGUAGUUGGUCUGAGAGGAUGACCAGCCAGAGUGGGACUGAGACACGGCCCACACUUCUACGGAAGGCAGCAGUAGGGAAUUUUGCGCAAUGGGCGAAAGCCUGACGCAGCAACACCGCGUGUAGGAUGAAGGUUUUCGGAUCGUAAACUACUGUCAGCAGGGAAUAAUUUUGACUGUACCUGCAGAGGAAGCAUCGGCUAACUACGUGCCAGCAGCCGCGGUAAGACGUAGGGUGCAAGCGUUGUCCGGAAUUAUUGGGCGUAAAGAGUUCGUAGGCGGUUAUUUAAGUCUGGUGUUAAAGACGGGAGCUUAACUCCCGCAUGGCACUGGAAACUGGAUGGCUAGAGUGUGGUAGAGGUCUCGGGAAUUCCAGGUGUAGCGGUGAAAUGCGUAGAUAUCUGGAGGAACACCGGUGGCGAAAGCGCGAGACUGGGCCAUAACUGACGCUGAGGAACGAAAGCCAGGGGAGCAAAAGGGGAUUAGAUACCCCUGUAGUCCUGGCCGUAAACGAUGGAUACUAGGUGUUGGGAGGGAUUCGACCCCUUUCAGUGCCGUAGCUAACGCGAUAAAGUAUCCCGCCUGGGGAGUACGCUCCGCAAGAAGUGAAACUCA